CCAGGAAGCCUUCCUGCUUCAUUUCAGUUUCCACAGGUGCUGCUCUUGUCUCCCUGAUGAAAGAAGAUGCUUCUUAAGAGCCUCUGUACCGGGGCACUUACAACCGGCACUGAAAUAAUUUCUGCUUCUGCCUCCCACUGGACUGUGGCCUUCUCUGGGACAGUGACUUGGUCCCUGCCUUUGCUUCCCGUUGGGCUGCCCAUAGUAGGUGUUCCUUACAUGCCUGAUGUUGGAAGCCUCUUUUCAGGAAUCACUAGCGGUAGGUCGGUCUUCAGCCGCCAGGUGGCACUAGUGCCCAGGCCCUGCCAGCGCGGGGCGGGCCGUGGCUCUGGGAGAGGCUUAGGCGCUGGUGGCAGGUCGUGCUAGGGGGUCGCCGCGUAUUUUCCUUUCACCCCUAGACUGACCGCAGGGGCAGGUCGAAGUGGUUAGAGCCAGAGAAACUGGGAGGGGUUGGCAGGUCAACAGCCGGGACGUCAGCUGUACUGACGGAUGCAGGCCGGAUUAAGGAACCAAAUUCCGCGCAGUGUGAGCGCAGGGUUUGACAACUCUAUUUUGGGUCACGGGCCUUUUGGGAAAUUGAUGAAAGCCUAGGAACUCCUCCUCAAAAAAAGGCAUAUGCCUAUAAAGAUGAUACAAGAGAAACAACCUGAAAAUGGCACAUUUGAGCCAGCUGAGAGGAGCUCUGUCACCAGCACCAAGCUCUACUCCGAAUUCUGCUGCCCAGACAUCUAAGACAAAUAUCUCUUUUCUGCCCAUUACUUGAGGGGCCACAUAAAGAAGAACUAAGUUCUACUAAAUGACAACAUUAAAUAUUUUUCUUGGCUCACCAUGCCCACCAAGGAUAUAAUCAACUCACCUGCAGCCCACUUCAUCUCUUUACAGUAAGUCUUGAUCCCUGCACCUG